CUACGGGACGCACCAGUCGAGAAUCUUCCGCAAUGGACGAAAGUCUGACGGAGCGACGCCGCGUGCGGGAUGAAGGCCCUCGGGUUGUAAACCGCUGUCAGUGGGGAGGAAAUGCAUCAGGGUUCUCCCUGGUGUUUGACCGAUCCGCAGAGGAAGCGCAGGCUAAGUUCGUGCCAGCAGCCGCGGUAACACGAACUGCGCGAACGUUAUUCGGAAUCACUGGGCUUAGAGAGUUUGUAGGCGGCCUUUCAAGUCGGGUGUGAAAUCCCUCGGCUCAACCGAGGAAUUGCGCCUGAUACUGUUGGGCUUGAGGGGGAUAGGGGUGAGCGGAACUGAUGGUGGAGCGGUGAAAUGCGUUGAUAUCAUCAGGAACACCGGUGGCGAAGGCGGCUCACUGGAUCUCUUCUGACGCUGAGGAACGAAAGCUAGGGGAGCGAACGGGAUUAGAUACCCUUGUAGUC
rnacentral:rRNA from 1 species